AGGGUUUGAUUCUGGCUCAGGAUGAACGCUGGCGGCGUGCCUAACACAUGCAAGUCGAGCGAGAAAUCUUGGAAUGAAACUUCGGUUGAGUGAAGAGAUGGAAAGCGGCGGACGGGUGAGUAACGCGUAGGCAACCUGCCUUAUGCAGAGGGAUAGCCAUUGGAAACGAUGAUUAAAACCUCAUAAAGCCAUUUUAUCACAUGGUGAGAUGGUCAAAGAUUUAUCGGCAUAAGAUGGGCCUGCGUCUGAUUAGCUGGUUGGUGGGGUAACGGCCUACCAAGGCGACGAUCAGUAGCCGACCUGAGAGGGUGAACGGCCACAUUGGAACUGAGACACGGUCCAA
rnacentral:rRNA from 1 species